rnacentral:rRNA from 1 species
UACGUAGGGUGCGAGCGUUAAUCGGAAUUACUGGGCGUAAAGCGUGCGCAGGCGGUUUUGUAAGCCAGGUGUGAAAUCCCCGGGCUCAACCUGGGAAUGGCAUUUGGGACUGCAAGGCUGGAGUGCGGCAGAGGAGACUGGAAUUCCUGGUGUAGCGGUGAAAUGCGCAGAUAUCAGGAAGAACACCCGUGGCGAAGGCGGUUCUCUGGGACGGUACUGACGCUGAGACGCGAAAGCGUGGGGAGCGAACAGG